rnacentral:rRNA from 1 species
UACAGAGGUCCCAAGCGUUGUUCGGAUUCACUGGGCGUAAAGGGUGCGUAGGUGGUGAGGUAAGUCGGAUGUGAAAGCUCGGAGCUCAACUCCGAAAUGGCAUUGGAAACUACCUUGCUCGAGGGUUGGAGGGGGGACUGGAAUGCUUGGUGUAGCAGUGAAAUGCGUAGAUAUCGUAAGGAAGACCAGUGGCGAAGGCGAAUCUCUGGACAGUUACUGACACUGAGGCACGAAGGCCAGGGGAGCAAACGGG